UAGUUGAACAACACGUUAUUUUUGUUUGUGUUACGGAACCAAAAUCGUAAACAACGCUGAUAAGCGACCAGAGUGCACAAGAGGGCCAAGAACUUUUUCGCGAUCUUCCUGUUGUGGCAGUGACCAACCAAGGUUGCGAUUUCAAUUUGCAGGAAGAAACAAGAGUUCAAGUGUGAAAUUUACUUCCAAACAGUCAAUCUCGUGAAAUAGGCAAAUCAAAAUCGUCAUACGGGGACAACUGCGAGCAAGUUCAAUGUGCAGCAUAGAUAGAAACUGAAGUUCAAGACCUACCACUUGCUCAGCUGCGUGAGACGCGUUGAUCUUCUUAUUUUGUGACCACUUUGCUUUAACUGUUGCCGUUAUUGAUCAGAACCGGUGCCAGUGGUACCAGAAGCAGCAACGGCAGUAGUAAAUCUCAUCAAGGUCAACUGGGUUGCAAUCCGCAGAAAAACAUAUGAUCGAACCGUUUUGUUCAAUCGUCAUUAACAUACCUGCAGCAGCACCCUCUUUGUGAGCCGGCAGGAACGGAAGAAUUUAUGAAUGAGCGGCGUAUGGUAAAAUCAACAACGUUAAAGUUACGAUGCAUCACUUUGACUUGCGUGCCGCCUUUCAUUGUUUGUGCGCAUAUGUAAUUGGGCUUGCAGUGGCUUCGUCAAACUGACAACUACAGUUGUUUUUAAAGUGGAUCCCCGUCGUCACAGGAUUCAGCGACCGCUCGCCAAACCCGUUGCAGCUAAGAACGAAAGGAAAGCAAAGCAUCAUAACGCGAUAGAACGCCAGUCGCGAAAAGCCCUCAUAUAAAAGCAUUGGCUCGCUCCUGUCCAUUCGAUAGAUCAUCUACCGUGGACCACCCGAUCGGACGUGCGGCUCUCUCGGCAACAUUCGUGCGCACUCAGCAACGUGAUAGUGUAUUCAUUCCAAUGCCCAUCUAAGGAUCGCCACAUAGUGUGAAAAUAGCUGAUUGUGGAUAAUUGCAUUGAUUAGGCCUCGAUCACCAUUCGAACAGUGCUCAAAGUGUUAACAGCCACUGAACUUGGCCAAACCAUUUAAAGGCAACCACUGAAAGACCCACGCUGCUGCAACCGUGUGAUCGCCAUCGAAUACGCACCCCUUAAUUAUCCGUUGAUUGAGUGCUAAAAAUAA